rnacentral:rRNA from 1 species
GAUGAACGCUAGCGGGAGGCCUAACACAUGCAAGCCGAGCGGUAGAGUCUCUUCGGAGUCUUGAGAGCGGCGCACGGGUGCGGAACACGUGUGCAACCUGCCUUUAUCUGGGGGAUAGCCUUUCGAAAGGAAGAUUAAUACCCCAUAAUAUACUGGAUGGCAUCAUCUGGUAUUGAAAACUCCGGUGGAUAGAGAUGGGCACGCGCAAGAUUAGAUAGUUGGUGAGGUAACGGCUCACCAAGUCAGCGAUCUUUAGGUGGCCUGAGAGGGUGAUCACCCACACUGGAAUGGAGACACGGUCCAGACGACUACGGGACGAAGCAGUGGGGAAUAGUGGAGAAGGGGCGCAAGUUUGAUCCAGCCAUACCGCGUGGGUUAAGAAGGCAUUGGGGUUGUAAAGACCUCCUGGUGGGAAAGAAAAACAGCCGGUUAAUACCCCGCUGUUCUGACGGUACCCAAAGAAUAAGCACCGGCUAACUUCGUG